rnacentral:tRNA from 1 species
GCAUUAGGGUUUCAGUGGUAGAAUUCUUGCCUUACCUGCGGGAGACCUAGGUUCGAUUCCUGGCCAGUUCA